UAUUUUAACUUCUAGUAGUGCUAUAGUCUUGUGUAGGACAACGAUAAAUACAAGCUGCGAGCUAAAAUGCUCAGCCUGUGAAUUCCACUAGCAAAGCUCUCUCAUGUGAGACGUUAAAAAUUUGAUUUGGGGGAUAAUGUUUUGGUUGCUAUGGUAUUCAACAGACUUCCGUGUUAUUUGAUUUCCUUUUUCCAGUCCUCCACGUUCAAAUAGAAUGGCCACACAGCUUAGGGCCUUAAAUCUAGCUGUUCGGCUGAAGUCAGUUGUCAAGAAGGACCGUCGUGAUCCCUCGUUAAAGAGGUUGCGAGCCCUCCAUAUUCCUUCUCAGGUACUCUAGUGGAGCGACAGCAGUUUUCAAACACCUCUGUCGGUCGGUUUGCUUGUUAUUGCUUUGGCCCACGUGAUGCCAAUUGGCUACUGACUUCAAGGUAGUGUUGAAUUGUUCAAACGCGUAAACAUAUUCAGUGAGGAUAACUGUAGCUGUCGG
rnacentral:misc_RNA from 1 species